rnacentral:rRNA from 1 species
ACGUAGGUGACAAGCGUUAUCCGGAAUUACUGGGCGUAAAGCGCACGCAGGUGGUUUUGCAAGUCUGGCGUGAAAUCUCCUGGCUUAACCAGGAGCGGUCGCUGGAAACGGCAAGACUUGAGGCGAGGAGAGGGGUGCAGAAUUCCCGGUGUAGUGGUGGAAUGCGUAGAGAUCGGGAGGAAUACCAGUGGCGAAGGCGGCACCCUGGCCUCGUACUGACGCUCAGGUGCGAAAGCGUGGGGAGUGAACGG